UACGAAGGGUGCAAACGUUGCUCGGAAUCAUUGGGCGUAAAGCGCACGUAGGCGGCUUCGCAAGUCGGAUGUGAAAUCCCUCGGCUCAACCGAGGACGUGCAUACGAAACUGCGGAGCUUGAGUGCUGAAGAGGAUCGCGGAAUUCCCGGUGUAGAGGUGAAAUUCGUAGAUAUCAGGAGGAACACCGGUGGCGAAGGCGGAUCUCUGGGCCAUUACUGACGCUGAGGAGCGAAAGCGUGGGGAGCGAACAGG
rnacentral:rRNA from 1 species